CAGGUGUGUCCCAACCACCUCCAGGCGCAUCCAAACCAUCUCCAGCUGCUCCUGGACCGUCUCCAGGUGUGUCCAAACUCCUUUUGGUGCCCCCAAACCAUCUCCAGGUGCCCUCAGACCCUCUCCAGCUGUUCCUGGACCAUCUCCAGGUGCUCCUGAACCAUCUCCAGGUGCUCCUGAAUCCUCUCCAGGUGCGUCCAAACCAUCUCCAGCUGUUCCUGAACCAUCUCCAGGUGCAUCCAAACCAUCUCCAGGUGUCUCCAAAUGUUCCCCAGGCACCUUCAAGUCCCUUCUGGU